rnacentral:miRNA from 1 species
UCACCGGGUGACAAUUAGGAC